UGGGGAAUAUUGCACAAUGGGCGCAAGCCUGAUGCAGCCAUGCCGCGUGUGUGAAGAAGGCCUUCGGGUUGUAAAGCACUUUCAGCGGGGAGGAAGGCGAUAAGGUUAAUAACCUUGUCGAUUGACGUUACCCGCAGAAGAAGCACCGGCUAACUCCGUGCCAGCAGCCGCGGUAAUACGGAGGGUGCAAGCGUUAAUCGGAAUUACUGGGCGUAAAGCGCACGCAGGCGGUCUGUCAAGUCGGAUGUGAGAUCCCCGGGCUCAACCUGGGAACUGCAUUCGAAACUGGCAGGCUAGAGUCUUGUAGAGGGGGGUAGAAUUCCAGGUGUAGCGGUGAAAUGCGUAGAGAUCUGGAGGAAUACCGGUGGCGAAGGCGGCCCCCUGGACAAAGACUGACGCUCAGGUGCGAAAGCGUGGGGAGCAAACAGG
rnacentral:rRNA from 1 species